AUGCGUCGCACCAUUUCCCAUGAGCACCCAUUGGAGGUCAUGCCUGAUCUCUACUUCUACAGAGAUCCUGAAGAGACUGAAAAGGAAGGGCAGGUCGCUGCUGAGAAUUCUGUGACGGAGGAGGACCUUCAGGGUGAAUGGACUGUUCCAGUUCUUGAGUUCACUGCUAUUCAACCUGAAGUCACAGACUGGUCUGAUGGCGUGCAGGUGCCCUCUGUGCCUAUUCAGCAGUUCCCCACUGAGGACUGGAGCGUCCAGCUGGCGGUAGAAGACUGGUCUGCAGCUCCCACUGCUCAGGCCACAGAAUGGGGGACAGCUGGUCCAACUACAGGCUUCACAUCCCUUACAGAACACCAGGCGCCCCAAGCUAUUGCUCAUUUAAUGAGGUCAGCUAAAGAAAGAGCUCCUCAGGAUCCUUGAGAUGAUAAUUCUCACAUCCAGAAGAUCAGAUCAAGGGAAGUAGCUCUGAAAAACAAACUUCAUGUUACUUAAACAAACUACAACAGCUUGCCACCUUAGGAAAAGGUAGAUAUGAAAGAGUAUACAAGAUCAGGAAUAAAUUAGAUGGUCAAUGUUUUGCAAUUAAAAAUUUACAAUUAAAAAAAUCCUGAUUAAGGGUGCAACUAAACAGAUUGCUUGAAGGUACUAUGGUGAGUGAAGGUAUUGGCAGGUCUUCGGUAUCCUACUUGUAGGGCCAUCAUAAUGCUUGGAUAGAACAUGUUCCUGUGGCCCGAAUGCAAGGUAGAAUUUCUAUUCAGUUGCCAUCUGUGGAAGUGAGGUUGGAACCAGGAGGAUGACAAAAAUCAGUAUGAUGUUAAAAAUGAUUAAAGUAACAGCUCAUCCACUAUCCUCACCAAGUUCACCCUAGAAAAAGAAAAAUUCUUAGAAGAAUCUGGCAUUGAAAAUCAGACUAACAGACUGAUGAACUACAUCACCAAUUUAGUCACAAAAGAUGCCAGUGAAUUUGAAUCAUUCCUUUCACUCCAAGAAAAUGGCUUGGCUGAUUUGUCUUCCAGAUUGUUGAACAUCAGCGGCCACUUAGGCAUGAUUGCGACUUUGAAGAGAAUUUCACAUCCAUCGAGGAAUCUUCUGAAGAAAACUUAAAACUUGUUGGGGCAGACAUCAUCUCAUGGAGUGCACCUGAUGUUGCACAUCCAGAUCCAGCUGUGGGACUCUCUCUGUGAGACUGGAUAGCUGAGAGAAACAAGCAGGGCCAGGAGUGUGGGGGCCAAUCUGCAUGUCCUUAUGUUAUGGCCAGUGUUGCAAUAAAAAUUUUUCAAGAAUUGGAGGAAGGUGUAUUUUAUAUUCAUAACAUGAGAAUAGUACACAUAUAUCUGAAGCCCAGAAAUAUUUUCCUCAUGGCCCUGAUCAGCAAGUAAAAAUAGGAGACUUUGGUCUGGCCUGCACAGACAUCAUACAGAAGAACACAGACUGGAUCAAUAGACAUGGCAAGAGAACACCAACACAUACUUCCAGAGUAGGUACUUGUCUGUACCCUUAACCUGAAGAGUUAGAAGGAUCUGAGUGUGACGGCAUAUCAGAUAUGUAUAGCUUGGGUGUGAUCCUACUGGAGCUCUUUCAGCCGUUUGGAACAGAAAUACAGCAAGUACAAGUUAUAACAGGUUUAAGAACUGGUCAGAUACUUGAAUCCCUCAGUAAAACACAAGCCAAGUGUAUCCAGCACUUAACCAGAAAGAAUACAACUCAGAGACUGUCUGCUCUGUUCAGCUGCUGUAAAGUGAACUUUUCCAAAAUUCUGGAAAUGUUAAUCUCACCCUACAAAGAUACUAGAACAAGAAAAAGAAACUGAAGAAAGAAACAGCUAAGCCUCCUUUCUCAGGACAAAAGGGUUAAAUAUGAAAUGGAAGAUAGGAAUGUGCCUUUCUAGCCUUAAUUAGGCUCUAUAAAUGUGGAAGUGGUCUCAAACUCUUUAAGCUAGUCAGCUGGAAUGUAAAUUUUCAAUUUUUAUUAUGGUAUAAAGGGUAUAAUACUUUUCUUUAGUAAGCCUGUAUAAGACUUAUUAAAGUGAAGUUGUAAAAGUUUUUAAAAAGUGUAUUAUUUAUGAUUGCAUCUACACAAAAUAAAAGACAAAACUAAUCUAUGGUUUUAGAAAACAGAACAGUAGUUACUUCUGGGGAGGAAGAAGGUAGCGUUAAAAUAGGGGCAAGAGGGGCUUCUGGGGUGUUCGUACAGCUGUAUGUUGAUCUCAGGGUCAGUGAUAGGACUACGUUUAAUUUGUCAAAACCCUCACUUAUAUACUCUUCUAGAUGGAUGGUAUAUGCAGUUUUUAAAAAUUGGUAACUUUUCAGCAUUUAUCAAUUUGAUAGGCUACUGAAAAAGACAGAUAUGUAUUCAAGGAAGUGGGGAAAAUAUUUACUAAACAAUAACCUUAUUUCUCAAGAACCCUAAAGAUUUGUUUCUAUCUCCACAAGAUUUUAAAAAUCUCAACGGACAGUAUAGUGACUUUUAAAUGUUAAAAAAUAAAAGUAAAAUACUGCUUAAUGAGCUUUGUUAUGCCUAGAUCCUAGGACUGUAAAUUACAAAAGUACAAGUAAAACCACAUUUCCUGAAAUAACAAUAAAGGAAAAAGUCAGGUACUAUAUACCAAAUGAUAAAAAUAUCUUCUGGGCCUAAGAUUCUUGAAAUUAGUAAAAAUGUUGAUAAUAGAAAUCUGCUGCUAAUCUACAUAGAUUAUUAAAUGUAAAAACAAUUUAUAAAACACAUCAGAAUUUUAUUGCUUGAAGAAUACAGCAUAUGAAAUCACAAGAAUGUCAAAAUGAAAAGUCACUAGGCUUCAAACAUAUAAUACAUUAUCAGAUGCAGUAAAAUAUUAAUUAACCUGAACUCUGCAUCAGGGAAAAAAAAAA